rnacentral:rRNA from 1 species
GAUGAACGCUGGCGGCGUGCCUAAUACAUGCAAGCCGAGCGAAUGGAUUAAGAGCUUGCUCUUAUGAAGUUAGCGGCGGACGGGUGAGUAACACGUGGGUAACCUGCCCAUAAGACUGGGAUAACUCCGGGAAACCGGGGCUAAUACCGGAUAACAUUUUGAACCGCAUGGUUCGAAAUUGAAAGGCGGCUUCGGCUGUCACUUAUGGAUGGACCCGCGUCGCAUUAGCUAGUUGGUGAGGUAACGGCUCACCAAGGCAACGAUGCGUAGCCGACCUGGGAGGGUGAUCGGCCACACUGUGACUGAGACACGGCCCAGACUCCUACGGGAGGCAGCAGUAGGGAAUCUUCCGCAAUGGACGAAAGUCUGACGGAGCAACGCCGCGUGAGUGAUGAAGGCUUUCGGGUCGUAAAACUCUGUUGUUAGGGAAGAACAAGUGCUAGUUGAAUAAGCUGGCACCUUGACGGUACCUAACCAGAAAGCCACGGCUAACUACGUGCCAGCCGCCGCAGUAA